rnacentral:rRNA from 1 species
AACGUAGGAGGCGAGCGUUAUCCGGAUUUACUGGGUGUAAAGCGCGUGCAGGCGGCGAGCUAAGUUGGGUGUGAAAGCUCCUGGCUCAACCGGGAGAGGUCGCUCAAGACUGGCUGGCUAGAGGACAGUAGGGGAAGGUGGAAUUCCGGGUGUAGUGGUGAAAUGCGUAGAUAUCCGGAGGAACACCAGUGGCGAAGGCGGCCUUCUGGACUGUACCUGACGCUCAGACGCGACAGCUAGGGGAG